GAUGAACGCUGGCGGCGUGCCUAAUACAUGCAAGUCGAGCGAACAGACGAGGAGCUUGCUCCUCUGACGUUAGCGGCGGACGGGUGAGUAACACGUGGAUAACCUACCUAUAAGACUGGGAUAACUUCGGGAAACCGGAGCUAAUACCGGAUAAUAUAUUGAACCGCAUGGUUCAAUAGUGAAAGACGGUUUUGCUGUCACUUAUAGAUGGAUCCGCGCCGCAUUAGCUAGUUGGUAAGGUAACGGCUUACCAAGGCAACGAUGCGUAGCCGACCUGAGAGGUUGUCCGCCACACCUGAACCUAAGCAACGGUCCAGCCCCCAAGGGGAGCCACAAGAAGGGAAUUUUCGCAAUGGGCGAAAGCCUGACGGAGCAACGCCGCGUGAGUGAUGAAGGUCUUCGGAUCGUAAAACUCUGUUAUUAGGGAAGAACAAAUGUGUAAGUAACUAUGCACGUCUUGACGGUACCUAAUCAGAAAGCCACGGCUAACUACGUG
rnacentral:rRNA from 1 species